rnacentral:rRNA from 1 species
UACAGAGGUCUCAAGCGUUGUUCGGAUUCAUUGGGCGUGAAGGGUGUGUAGGUGGCGCCGUAAGUCGGGUGUGAAAUUUCGGAGCUUAACUCCGAAACUGCAUUCGAUACUGCGGUGCUUGAGGACUGGAGAGGAGACUGGAAUUUACGGUGUAGCGGUGAAAUGCGUAGAUAUCAGGAAGAACACCCGUGGCGAAGGCGGCUCUCUGGGGACGGUACUGACGCUGAGACGCGAAAAGCGUGGGGGAGCGAACAGG